CCCGCCACCGUGCACGUCACCAUCCUGGACCUCAACGACAACUACCCGCACAUCAUCAAGCCGCUAAUACUCCUCCAAGAACCUUUGAUCACGGCGUUUCCGGUCAAGGCUUUGUCUUCUCAGCGCUUCAGAGCUGGGGUGUUGUGCCAAACUUGGGUCCACGUUCUCGACAAGCUUCUCAUAGCCUGGCAUCAGAAAAGAGACACACACACACACCCUAGCAGCUGGCCGGUGGAGGUGUGGGCGGCCGAAGACGCUGCAGGGAACACGCGAAAGCUCCAGAACUGAUGCGUGUGUGGCGCACGUGUGGUGGUAAGACGUUCUCCCUCCCUCCCUCUCGGUUUCUUCAGCACGGGAUGCGGGCGAGAGGAGUCUUGCUUGAUGGAGUGGAACAUUCAUCUGCAGAACCGCUGAGACUGCCAUGAGGACCCUCUCUGCCUCCUCACCAACCUCACGUCACUCCACCAAGAAGAAUAAGGUUGACGGGUGGUUGACGCUGUUCAACCUGCUCGGAAGUAGAAAAUUGAGUGCCCCAGGCCUGUGUGCUAGUGAUGUGCCCAACCCCCUCAAGCUUUGCCUCCUUACCACACUGAACACAUCACACCUCCUCAUCACCUCACCUACCUCCCCAUCCCUCAUGCUGUGCACCUCAGCAUUGUCCAGUCAUGUACAGCCACCACCACCAUCUCUGCCUGUCACUUUGAACUUGGUCUGGGAAGGAAGGGAAGCAUCUCAAGACUCAGGAAUCAAGGUCCACAGUCCACCGCAGUCCAUCAGGAGUGGGAGUCUGGUCUACCGUGGGACAGCAAAGGUACUGGUAAAGGACUCGUCUCAUCUCGUCUCCCCCAGCAUCCAGGUAGUAUCUUGAAGGCCUGACUGGUUCCCUCGGCUCAGUGGUCUUGUCUCUGUCUCCCUCCCUGCAAGAGUCUGGCAGAGUUUAGUGCCAAGAAUAUAUAUAUA